rnacentral:lncRNA from 1 species
UUCUCCGCAACUGACCGAGUCCUGGGGUCUCAAUCGCAAGCCCGGAGAGGCGGGCCCUUGUGAAACCACGCCCACAGCUCGCCCACCCGAUGGCGUAUCGCACAGCCUAAAGUGGGGAACGAACGGCAGGAGGGGCGGGGCAAUCCUGGCCCCACCCAGGGAGCGUCAGCGACCACCUCGGGAGCCUCCACGCUGUGGGGGCGGGGUCGGAUGAAGAAAAGGCGGGGUCUGAAGGCGGGGCCAGGCCCCUCCCCACUGCUGUCAUGCUCUGUCUCUGCCCUGCUUCUUUCUCUUCCAGCACCUCAUGAGGCCACUCAAUCAGCUUUACUGUCUGGCCCACAUGGUGAGGAACGGAGGCCUCCUGCUAAGAGCCAGGAAAACACAGAGACCCCCAGGCAACAGCCAUGUGAGUACACCAUUUUGGAGAUAGAUCCUCCAACCCCAAGUCAAGCCUUCACAUGAAGGGAGCUCAAGCCCCUGUUUUGACUAUAAUCUCAUGAAAGAUCCUGAGCCAGACACACUUGGCUAAACAGCUCUGAAAUUCUUAUAAUCAUAUGAAAUAAUACAUGUUUACCAUUUCAAGCCACUAAGUUGGGGAGUAGUUUAAUACAUAGCAAUAGUAAACUAAUACAGAGCUCAAGACAGCUCUAGGGUUGUCCAACCACCAUGAUCCCCACCCAUCAGUGUCCAGCUGACACUGGGAGGUUCAGGAAAGGGUAUCCCUGGCCAGAAAAGAAUUAUGCAACUGGCUUCUUCCUCUUUCCUCCUGGGCUGUCAGAACACAGGGCUAGAUUCCUGGGCUGGGGUCUGAUCUGCUGAGCCCAGGUGCCUGAUGCCAUCUACACCCUCUGCUUCCUUCCCAAAGAUUUAGUUCCCUUUUCAGUCCUCCCAGUGCCUUCCAGACUAAGACUGCUCCAAGUCCUUGCCUAAAAAAAGGAUGAGCAGUUUUUAUAAUCUGGACUCCAUUUCCGGAAAUGCAUGUCCAGCUGAGACCAUCACAGGCAAUAUUUUAUCCCUCCACCCCCUCCCCACUGUGAAUGGUGUGCUAUGAAUUUCCCUGUUUUUCAGAUGAUGAAUCUGAGGCAUAAGGCAGUGAAAAAAAAAAGCCACACAACUAGCAAGUGAUUGAAGCAUCCAGACUAGACUCAGGGCUAUCUGAUUGCAGAACCUCAGCUCCUAACUGCCUAUGCUACCCAAGUAAUAAUAACAGUGACGGUAAAAACAGAAUCAACUGUUACGACAGCAUUGUGUGCCAGGCAACAUUUUGAAGGCUUUCUAUGAAUUGAACGAUGGAAUCUUCCCAGCAAACCGUAUGGAGAGAAUGUUGUUUCCCUCCCUCUGACAGAGGUGAAACUGAAGGACGGAGAGGCGCAGGACCCUAGCCGGUAAGUGGCCCUGCACUGAUUGACACUCAGGCUGCAGAAUUCAGACCGUGACCAAAAUCGUCAGCGCCGGCUGUGCGACCCACGUCCACCCCAAGGGUCCGCAGCCCAGCCCAGCCCAGACCAGGGAGUUGUAAGCCUCCCCCUCUUCCGCCCGGGGAAUCUGGUUUCUGAGGGGAAGUGACUCAGUGGCCUGAGGCCCCGCAGAUAAUUAUUCACUUCCAAU